UACGAAGGGGGCUAGCGUUGCUCGGAAUCACUGGGCGUAAAGCGCACGUAGGCGGAUCUUUAAGUCAGGGGUGAAAUCCCAAGGCUCAACCUUGGAACUGCCUUUGAUACUGGGAUCUCGAGUCCGGAAGAGGUGAGUGGAACUGCGAGUGUAGAGGUGAAAUUCGUAGAUAUUCGCAAGAACACCAGUGGCGAAGGCGGCUCACUGGUCCGGUACUGACGCUGAGGUGCGAAAGCGUGGGGAGCAAACAGGG
rnacentral:rRNA from 1 species